UUCUUCUUCAUGCUUAGUUUCAUCUUCCACUUGCUUUUGUUCACGCUUAUAUUCUUCCAUCUUAUUCACUUCCUCCUCUAAUAUAGUGCCUUCAUCAUCAUCUUCUUCAUGUUUCUCAUCCUUAGGUAGCUCAGGGACGCGAGGAUGGAGGCCUUUCCUUCCCAAGUUUGAAAUCCCAUCACCACUUUGAGUUUUGACAGAGAUUUUUGACUCUUUCUCAUCAAACUCCUUUUUCUUAUCAUGGGAAUGCUUGACUUGGUAGAUCAACCAGAAACAGACACCAAGCAAUAAACAAAUCUGCAGAACAUUCUUUACCUUGAAGCCUCUGGUUCUAG
rnacentral:misc_RNA from 1 species